GCUUGACGUGGAGAUCUGGAGGGAUGUGCAGGUGAGAGCGGGAGCGUCUAGGACGGCCAAGGUGGACCCUGGGCUGGGUGGGAACCCUGAGCCUGUAGAAGACGAUCUACUACGGACAGGUGCUGAAGAAUUCAGCGGACCUCCAGACCAAUGCCUGUGUCACCGCAGCCAGGCCAGUCCCCAAGCACAUCCAGGAGGCCCUGCGGAAUGUACACGAAGAAGUAGCCUUGAGGAUACAUUCACACUCUUGCACCUGACAUUCAAGACUGUCCACAGUUUGGCCCUUCCUAACCAGCCUUGGCUCCCUCUUGAUGGAUCUUGGAUGUGACCGGUGCCACUGU